rnacentral:rRNA from 1 species
CCUGGAGGAAGGUGGGGAUGACGUCAAAUCAUCAUGCCCCUUAUGCUUAGGGCUACACACGUGCUACAAUGGGUAGUACAGAGGGUUGCCAAGCCGUAAGGUGGGGCUAAUCCCUUAAAGCUACUCUCAGUUCGGAUUGUAGGCUGAAACUCGCCUACAUGAAGCUGGAGUUACUAGUAAUCGCAGAUCAGAAUGCUGCGGUGAAUGCGUUCCCGGGUCUUGUACACACCGC